AGAGAAUCAUGGAGAUCACUGGAUCAUGGAGUGCAAAUCGUUGUCAGUCUGAUCAAGAGUUUGAGUUACAUCUUCCGUCAGUCAAAAUGAAAAAGCUCUUCUUCUGGCUGCUGCAUUUUUGCUGAAUUUUAUGUUCUUUGAGAUGAGCUGAUCUAAAUUCAUAAGAGGAUAAACGUAAGAAAGGCGUCAACAUGUGGAAGGAUCCUAGACAACACCACUAUGAAACCACAACAUCCUUACUCCAAAAUUAAUGUUCAGUAAGAAGAUAACUGUAUCUAAUAGGAGCAGCUCUGUAUAAGUUAAAUACUCAAAAUUAAACAAUUACAUUUGGUUGAAAGAG